rnacentral:rRNA from 1 species
CCUACGGGGGGCAGCAGUGAGGAAUAUUGGUCAAUGGGCGAGAGUCUGAACCAGCCAUGUAGCGUGCAGGAAGACGGCCCUACGAGUUGUAAACUGCUUUUGUACAAGGGUAAACUUGAACACGUGUAUUCAUCUGAAAGUACUGUACGAAUAAGGAUCGGCUAACUCCGUGCCAGCAGCCGCGGUAAUACGGAGGAUCCAAGCGUUAUCCGGAUUUAUUGGGUUUAAAGGGUGCGUAGGGGGGUUGAUAAGUUAGUGGUGAAAUGUUCGAGCUUAACUCGGGAAUUGCCUCUAAUACGGUUGAUCUAGGGAGUGGAUGCGGUAGGCGGAAUGUAUGGUGUAGCGGUGAAAUGCU